rnacentral:rRNA from 1 species
AUGUUCUUCAUAACUCAAAGAAUUUGGCGGUAAAUUUUAAUUUUCAGAGGAACCUGUUCAUUAAUUGAUAAACCACGAUAGUUUACACUUAGAUUUUACUUAUAUACCGCUAUUUUUUGGAAUGUUUUAUAAGAAUUAUUUUCUUUUGAUUUUUUUCCUUAUAUUAGGUCAAGGUGUAGUUUUAUUUAAAGCUUGUAUGGGUUACUUUAUUUAUAAUUGUUAAUUAUGAAUGAUAGUUGAUUUUUUUAUUAUUUAGGAUUUGAAAGUAAUUCUAAUUAAUUAAUUAUUGUGAAUUUUUAAAUUAU